CUGAAGUUCGCCGCGCAGGAGCGCCAGCUGCUGCUUGUUUUUGAUGGGCACAAAUCCCACCUGGAUCCAGAGCUGGUCCGGGUGGCACAGAGGGAGGAGGUCAUUCUCCUGUGCCUUCCACCACACACAUCUCUGGUGGCUGGGUUCAGGAAGUGUGGCCUGUACCCUCUGGACCCGGAAGCCAUUGAUUGGUCACGGGUCAUGCCAUCCAGACCGUGGUGUGGGACCUCCUGUCAACCUCCGCCAACCCCAUCAGCAUCUUCCUGGGCCAUGCCUGAUGUUACCCACCCAUCCCAACACCCCCCCCCCCCACACACACCAGAGUCCACCCCCUGUCCCUUGUCCACCCCCUGUCCCUUGUCCACCCAAUCCCUACUCUACCCAUCCCCUGGUAACAUCAGGCAGGAUCUCAGUAGACCUGGCCCACCUCCUGCCCGAGGUGCGUUAUAAUACCACCAAGGUCAGGAGGAAUACCACCAAGGCCAGGAUACUGACGGCUCAGGAGAUGUCUGAUGCCAUCGAGGAGGCGGAGGACCGUGCUGCAAGGCGGGAGGCCCAAGCUCUGGCCAGAGAGCAGCACCUGGUGGCUCCCGUCCCAGCCGCAGAACAGCAUCCCCCGGGGCUGCCUCGGCCUCCAGCUCCGGCCUUUCCAUCGCCGGUCCCUCAACCCGCUCGGCCCCCUCUAGUGCCUCCCACGGUCACCAGCUGCCUGCCCCUAGCGGAACAUCCCCACCUAGCCUGCCUGCUCCUGGCUGGCUACUGGAUGAGCCAUCAACAUCUGCCUUCGGCCUCCGAGGGUCCAGAUUGUCUUCCUCUCCCUCCCAAUCCUGCAGACAGACAGCUGGCGCAGCUCCUCCCAGCCGUCUGCUGGACCCAUGGCAUCCACUGGUCACACCACCACCAUGGAAGAUCUGUGUGGCCAGUGCAGGGAACCCGACCCUCCGGGUGUCUGCUCGGAGGGAUUGGUGCUGUGGGUCCAGUGCAACAAAUGUGACAAAUGGUUUCACACUAUUUGUGUCGGCUGGGAGGAGCUGGACAAAGACGAAUUUUUGUGUUUUUGGUGUUUUUGGUGCCUUAAUAUGUUCGAUAAGUUUGUUAUUUAAUUUGUUUUUAAUUUGAUUAUCCUUUAUAUAUUUGUUUGUAUAUAUUGUAUAUAUUGCUGUUUUUUGUCCUGUCAAUUUAGUAAAAUAUUUUUCAUGUCAUG
rnacentral:lncRNA from 15 species